UUUGAUCCUGGCUCAGGAUGAACGCUAGCGGCAGGCCUAAUACGAUGCAAGUCGCACGGGAGCGGGGCCUUCGGGGCCUGCGAGAGUGGCGGACGGGUGCGCAACGCGUAUGCAACCACCCCGUAAGGCGGACAGCCGGUGGAAACGCCGGGCAAUCCGCCAUGACGCCGCCGCGGGGCAUCCCGUGGCGGCCAAAGCCCUGGAGGCGGACGGGACGGGCAUGCGUCCCAUUAGAUUGUUGGCGGGGUGACGGCCCACCAAGUCAUCGAUGGGUAGGGGAUCUGAGAGGACGGUCCCCCACACUGGCACUGAGACACGGGCCAGACUCCUGCGGGAGGCAGCAGUAGGGGAUAUUGGUCAAUGGGCGGGAGCCUGAACCAGCCAUGCCGCGUGAGGGAAUGGGGCCCUACGGGUCGUGAACCUCUUUUGCGCAGGGACAAUGUGCCGCACGUGAUGCGGCGUUGAGGGUACUGCGCGAAUAAGCGCCGGCUAACUCCGUGCC
rnacentral:rRNA from 1 species